CAGUGGGAUUUCUAGAGGCCUUGGCCUCCUGAAGGUCAAGGCCCAGAAUGCUGGUUUCAGGUUUUGCUGGAAGACCUACAGGAACUGCCUUGACUCUUCUGAGCAGCAAAGAAAGGGAGAUUUUCUCCUCCUGGCUCUCUCUUCCCACCUUCUCUCCCUCCCUGUGGCUUGUAUGAUCAAAGGAGAGGUUCACACAGAGGAUGGGCUUGAACUUCUAAUCCUCCUGCUGGGCUACAGAUCCUUAUGUGACCUUCCCACUACAGGAUGUAAGCCCCCUGUCUGAGCUCUGAACAUCCUUACUGAGAGUCCCUCCAGCACUUACAGAAGUGACCAGAGCUGAUCAACAAGAACCAGGUGCCCUUAUGCUUUAUAAGAUGAAAUUUGCUGUACACCAAGGAGGAAUGGCUUCUCUUGAGUCAGUAAAUUCUGGUAUGUUCCU
rnacentral:lncRNA from 1 species